AUAAAAUGGUAUUGAAUUUUAACGUUACAUUUUUUUUAAUACUGUAACGAAUUUAAAUUAAUUCCUAACUAAAUCAAAAUUUAAAGUAGAUUAAAAUAGACUAUAAGAACACUUUAGAGGCUCAUGCAGAGCAUGUUCGAAGUGGACAAGCGAUAAAAUGGCUGAAAAUACACGGGAAAACAAACGAUGGACGGUGUAACAACUGUCCAAUAAAUCUAAAUCCGUCCGUGGAAGACUUUCCCCAUUACAAAGGAGGAAGAACCAUCGACCAUGGCAGUCGACGAAGAAGUCGUGACGGUUUUCGGAAAUAGCGAGGUUCAAUAAUAACCCUGAUGCAGGAGGUGAACCCGUACUGAGAACCAUGCAGGAGGCGAGAGAACUGGAAUUAAAUUUAACGCGUUACGUCGUGCAUGGAAAUAAUUAUUGGCUCUAUUAUUAAUACGUGAUACGAUUUUUAAUAUAUCAUUGUUCAAAGUAUCCAAUUCUUUUGCAAAUUAUUAGACAACGAUACAAUCAAAAACUAGUGCUAUUUUUGAAUGAAUCAACAUAGAAUUUCAUUCAUUUGGAUGCCAAUACUUAAAUGAUACUUCUUAAGUAUUUUUGAUCUCUUCAAAAUUACUUUCUAUAUCUUAAUACUAAUGAUUCUAUAAUAAAUUUUCAGAAUUCCUCAACUUGCUUGUGAAACGAUCAUACAAUAAUUUUCCAAAAAAAAAGAAACUAUUACAAGGAACUUUUAAUAAUCAUUUUCACUGGAAAAAAUUUUUGUUCCCAAGAGACAUAAUGGGCGUAAUAAAAAGGGUAUAAAAUCUCUCAAAAACUGUUCAUUGCUGAGGCUUUAGACUCAUAGGAAAGUUCAUCGUGCAAGAAUUUAUCAAGAUUAUACCACAAAUAUCCCGCGCCGAUACAUUGGGCUUCGAAUCAGACAUUUUCACGCAGGUACACCCAGUAUAGAUGUCUGUAGGUGCCUGCAAGUUGAAACCUGCACGACCGGCAAGGUCGAGGAACCUAACGCAACCAGCCACCGCCGGCGCGAUAUAAACACCGCCGGGAAUGGAAGAGACAGACCUACCUCUUCAGUUUCGAGAUUGCGAAAAAAAAAAAGGAAGAACACAAAGAAAUAAGAACCGACCACGCCAUAAUACCGGGAAAAAUACACUUGCACUGGUCGUGAUCGAGACUUCAUUUCACUUUACGGUCUUCUACUUUAUAGCCUUUGUUCAUUUGUCUACGACUUUUCGUCCUAAAAUGGAAAAUCUUUCUCUGUAUAUGAGAUAUGAUUGGAUAAUCACGCACUUUUAUAUAUAUAUAUAUAUAUAUAUGAUUUGUGAACUGAAAAAUAGAAUAGACAUGCA
rnacentral:lncRNA from 1 species